rnacentral:rRNA from 1 species
GAUGAACGCUAGCUACAGGCUUAACACAUGCAAGUCGCGGGGCAGCAUGGGGGUUGCUUGCAAUCCCCGAUGGCGACCGGCGCACGGGUGAGUAACGCGUAUCCAACCUGCCCUUCACCACGGGAUAACCCGGCGAAAGUCGGACUAAUACCGUAUGUUGUCCAUUGACGGCAUCCGAUUUGGACGAAAGGUUUGGCGGUGAAGGAUGGGGAUGCGUCCGAUUAGCUGGACGGCGGGGUGACGGCCCACCGUGGCGACGAUCGGUAGGGGUUCUGAGAGGAAGGUCCCCCACACUGGAACUGAGACACGGUCCAGACUCCUACGGGAGGCAGCAGUGAGGAAUAUUGGUCAAUGGGCGUAAGCCUGAACCAGCCAAGUAGCGUGCAGGAUGACGGCCCUAUGGGUUGUAAACCGCUUUUAUGCGGGGAUAAAGUGGCCCACGUGUGGGUUUUUGCAGGUACCGCAUGAAUAAGGACCGGCUAAUUCCGUG